GUGACGUUACCAAACUGUUGCCUCGGCGGGAUCUCUGCCCCGGGUGCGUCGCAGCCCCGGACCAAGGCGCCCGCCGGAGGACCAACCAAAACUCUUUUUGUAUACCCCCUCGCGGGUUUUUUUAUAAUCUGAGCCUUCUCGGCGCCUCUCGUAGGCGUUUCGAAAAUGAAUCAAAACUUUCAACAACGGAUCUCUUGGUUCUGGCAUCGAUGAAGAACGCAGCGAAAUGCGAUAAGUAAUGUGAAUUGCAGAAUUCAGUGAAUCAUCGAAUCUUUGAACGCACAUUGCGCCCGCCAGUAUUCUGGCGGGCAUGCCUGUCCGAGCGUCAUUUCAACCCUCGAACCCCUCCGGGGGGUCGGCGUUGGGGAUCGGCCCUCCCUUAGCGGGGGCCGUCUCCGAAAUACAGUGGCGGUCUCGCCGCAGCCUCUCCUGCGCAGUAGUUUGCACACUCGCAUCGGGAGCGCGGCGCGUCCACAGCCGUUAAACACCCAACUUCUGAAAUGUUGACCUCGGAUCAGGUAGGAAUACCCGCUGAACUUAAGCAUAUCAAUAA
rnacentral:rRNA from 1 species